rnacentral:rRNA from 1 species
GAUGAACGCUGGCGGCGUGCUUAACACAUGCCAGUCGAACGGAAAGGCCCAAGCUUGCUUGGGUACUCGAGUGGCGAACGGGUGAGUAACACGUGGGUGAUCUGCCCUGCACUUCGGGAUAAGCCUGGGAAACUGGGUCUAAUACCGGAUAGGACCACUUCUUGGAUGUUGUGGUGGAAAGUUUUUUCGGUGUGGGAUGAGCUCGCGGCCUAUCAGCUUGUUGGUGGGGUAAUGGCCUACCAAGGCGUCGACGGGUAGCCGGCCUGAGAGGGUGUACGGCCACAUUGGGACUGAGAUACGGCCCAGACUCCUACGGGAGGCAGCAGUGGGGAAUAUUGCACAAUGGGCGCAAGCCUGAUGCAGCGACGCCGCGUGGGGGAUGACGGCCUUCGGGUUGUAAACUCCUUUCGCUAGGGACGAAGCGUUUUUGUGACGGUACCUGGAGAAGAAGCACCGGCUAACUACGUG